rnacentral:rRNA from 1 species
UGGGGAAUAUUGCACAAUGGGGGAAACCCUGAUGCAGCGACGCCGCGUGAACGAAGAAGGUAUUCGUAUCGUAAAGUUCUGUCCUAUGGGAAGAUAAUGACAGUACCAUAGAAGAAAGCUCCGGCUAAAUACGUGCCAGCAGCCGCGGUAAUACGUAUGGAGCGAGCGUUGUCCGGAAUUAUUGGGCGUAAAGGGUACGCAGGCGGAAAUGCAAGUCAGGUGUAAAAGGCAGUAGCUUAACUACUGUAAGCAUUUGAAACUGCAUAUCUUGAGAAGAGUAGAGGUAAGUGGAAUUUUUAGUGUAGCGGUUAAAUGCGUAGAUAUUAAAAAGAAUACCGGUGGCGAAGGCGACUUACUGGGCUCAUUCUGACGCUGAGGAACGAAAGCGUGGGUAGCAAACAGG